rnacentral:misc_RNA from 1 species
GAUGAAUAACGUAGUGAAAUGCGAUACGUAAUGUGAAUUGCAGAAUUCAGUGAAUCAUCGAGUCUUUGAACGCACAUUGCGCCCCCUGGUAUUCCGGGGGGCAUGCCUGUCCGAGCGUCAUUGCUGCCCUCAAGCACGGCUUGUGUGUUGGGCCUCCGCCCCCCGGCUCCCGGGGGGCGGGCCCGAAAGGCAGCGGCGGCACCGCGUCCGGUCCUCGAGCGUAUGGGGCUUCGUCACCCGCUCCGUAGGCCCGGCCGGCGCCCGCCGGCGACCCCCCUCAAUCUUUCCAGGUUGACCUCGGAUCAGGUAGGGAUACCCGCUGAACUUAAGCAUAUCAAUAAGCGGAGGA